rnacentral:rRNA from 1 species
UACGUAGGGUGCGCGCGUUAAUCGGAAUUACUGGGCGUAAGGCGUGCGCAGGCGGUUCGCUAAGACAGAUGUGAAAUCCCCGGGCUUAACCUGGGAACUGCGUUUGUGACUGGCGGGCUGGAGUGCGGAAGAGGGAGGUGGAAUUCCACGUGUAGCAGUGAAAUGCGUAGAGAUGUGGAGGAACACCGAUGGCGGAGGCAGCCUCCUGGUCUAGCACUGACGCUCAUGCAAGAAAGCGUGGGGAGCAAACAGG